AACGAACGCUGGCGGCAGGCUUAACACAUGCAAGUCGAACGCCCCGCAAGGGGAGUGGCAGACGGGUGAGUAACGCGUGGGAACAUACCCUUUCCUGCGGAAUAGCUCUGGGAAACUGGAAUUAAUACCGCAUACGCCCUACGGGGGAAAGAUUUAUCGGGGAAGGAUUGGCCCGCGUUGGAUUAGCUAGUUGGUGGGGUAAAGGCCUACUAAGGCGACGAUCCAUAGCUGGGCUGAUAGGAUGAACAGCCACAGUGGGACUGAGAAACGGCCCAAACUCCGACGGGAGGCAGCAGUGGGGAUUGUUGGACAGUGGGAGCAAGCCUGAACCAGCCAUGCCGCGUGAGUGAUGAAGGCCUUAUGGUUGUAAAGCUCUUUCGCCGAUGAAGAUAAUGACGGUAGUCGGAGAAGAAGCCCCGGCUAACUUCGUGCCAGCCGCCGCGGUAACAC
rnacentral:rRNA from 1 species